GACGGAGGAUGCAAGUGUUAUCCGGAAUCACUGGGCGUAAAGCGUCUGUAGGUGGUUUAAUAAGUCAACUGUUAAAUCUUGAGGCUCAACCUCAAAAUCGCAGUCGAAACUAUUAGGCUAGAGUAUAGUAGGGGUAAAGGGAAUUUCCAGUGGAGCGGUGAAAUGCGUAAAGAUCGGGAAGAACAUCGGUGGCGAAAGCGCUCUACUGGACCGCAACUGACACUCAGGGACGAAAGCUAGGGGAGCGAAUGGG
rnacentral:rRNA from 1 species